AUAAACAUCCGCCCGAGAACUACGAGCACAAACGCUUAAAACUCUAAGGACUUGGCGGUGCCCUAAACCCACCUAGAGGAGCCUGUUCUAUAAUCGACAACCCACGAUCCACCCAACCACUUCUAGCCAAAAUCAGCCUACAUACCGCCGUCGCCAGCCCACCUCCAUGAGAGAGCAGCAGUGGACACAACAGCCCACACCCCGCUAACAAGACAGGUCAAGGUAUAGCCCAUGAAGUGGAAGAAAUGGGCUACAUUUUCUAAAAUAGAAUAAACCAACGAAAAGAGGCUUGAAAUUUGCCUCUAGAAGGUGGAUUUAGCAGUAAAGCAGGACAAUC
rnacentral:rRNA from 1 species